CCGCCCGCCGCGGGGAGGGCGCGCUGGGUCCGCGUCACUCCUCCCCCUCUGGACCUGGCGGCGGGCUCCCGCUCUUAUCGCCUCCGAGCCUCUCCGGGGUCCUCUUCGCGCUGUUACGUCUCUCCCGGCUCUUUCCCUUUCCCCUGGCUGCCCUCUCCCGAGCCGGGGCUACGGAUCCCCUGGCCUUCUGCUGGGAGCACAACUCCCAGCCUUGGCAAGACUCGACUACCCGGGACUUAAUUCAUUCUCCGUCCCUUCCAGCACCCCGUCCCUAUCCCAGGAGCCCCCACCUCCGCCCCCACCUCCGCCCCCACCCCCGCUUGCCUAGAGUGGGCCCACCCUGCCCCUCCUCCACCCCUGCCGGGUCCUGUUGGGGCUGAGCCUUGGGGCGGUGGCGGUGCCCUGGAAGGACCUCCUUAGCCAUCGUCCCCACUGCCCGAACUGACACCAUCUGUCAACUCUAUUUAGACAGUUCUGCACUCGGCCACACGCCGGGGUGCCAGACAUCCCAAGGGGUCUGUGUACUAUGCCUUCCCAACGCUGGAACUUGGUAGCUAAACUUCUGUGUUUCAGCCAUGGAUGUGUCCAGAUUUAUUGGGCAAGAACACAGUGGAUAACAAAUGAGGUCAAAUUCUUUCUCCCUCAUGGAGAAUUCGUUUCUGGCGGGCAGGCAGCAUUUGCUUAAUUCUUUCUUUACCUUUGCUGUGUUGGAGAUGGAAGCAAACCAUGGGAACUCUACCUGAGUCCCAGCCCCAGCCCAGCUGCAGAGUGAAAAUGGAAGUCUCAUUGCUGAUGCUGCUUUGUUUAGAUUGGUCCCAUUCCCUAGGAGGUCCCUUCUGGUGUGAGCCUUUCCCCACUACUUUUUGUUUUCUAUAAACAACAAAAAUCUUGGUUUCUUUAAAAAUGGAGGAGUACAGCUAUGAUUCAUUAAACAAUUCUAGAUCAGCCUGCAGGCUUCU